rnacentral:rRNA from 1 species
GAUGAACGCUGGCGGCGUGCCUAAUACAUGCAAGUCGAGCGAACAGACGAGGAGCUUGCUCCUCUGACGUUAGCGGCGGACGGGUGAGUAACACGUGGGUAACCUACCUAUAAGACUGGGAUAACUUCGGGAAACCGGAGCUAAUACCGGAUAACAUGUUGAACCGCAUGGUUCAACAGUGAAAGACGGUCUUGCUGUCACUUAUAGAUGGAUCCGCGCCGCAUUAGCUAGUUGGUAAGGUAACGGCUUACCAAGGCAACGAUGCGUAGCCGACCUGAGAGGGUGAUCGGCCACACUGGAACUGAGACACGGUCCAGACUCCUACGGGAGGCAGCAGUAGGGAAUCUUCCGCAAUGGGCGAAAGCCUGACGGAGCAACGCCGCGUGAGUGAAGAAGGUCUUCGGAUCGUAAAACUCUGUUAUUAGGGAAGAACAAAUGUGUAAGUAACUAUGCACGUCUUGACGGUACCUAAUCAGAAAGCCACGGCUAACUACGU